rnacentral:rRNA from 1 species
AGUGAACGCUGGCGGUAGGCCUAACACAUGCAAGUCGAACGGCAGCACAGUAAGAGCUUGCUCUUACGGGUGGCGAGUGGCGGACGGGUGAGGAAUACAUCGGAAUCUACUUUUUCGUGGGGGAUAACGUAGGGAAACUUACGCUAAUACCGCAUACGACCUACGGGUGAAAGCAGGGGAUCUUCGGACCUUGCGCGAUUGAAUGAGCCGAUGUCGGAUUAGCUAGUUGGCGGGGUAAAGGCCCACCAAGGCGACGAUACGUAGCUGGUCUGAGAGGAUGAGCAGCCACACUGGAACUGAGACACGGUCCAGACUCCUACGGGAGGCAGCAGUGGGGAAUAUUGGACAAGGGGAGCAAGCCUGAUCCAGCCAUACCGCGUGGGUGAAGAAGGCCUUCGGGUUGUAAAGCCCUUCUGUUGGGAAAGAAAAGCAGCAGGUUAAUACCGCGCUGUUCUGACGGUACCCAAAGAAUAAGCACCGGCUAACUUCGUG